rnacentral:sRNA from 1 species
AAUUUAUGAUUUAUGAAUAUGCCUGUUAACAAAUCACCUAUGAUUAAUACAUGUGGAGGCAUAUCUUCCCCUUAUCAUGAAGAGCUCUGGAAAUUAAAUUUUCAACAUUUAAGUGGAGAAAGGGGUCAUAAAUCAAG